AUGUUGGUGAAGCUGGACAUCAUCAAGAGGAUUGUUUGCGCGAAGGCCCAGCAGGUGAACAAGAUGUGGGACAACCUUCUCAAUAACAUCAUCAAUGAGCAUGCAAGCAAGUCGGCGGCAGAACACAAAAGCGAGGACAACGACUUCACCGAUGUGUUGCUUUCUAUCCAACAAGAGUACAAACUCACAGGAGAUCAUAUUAAGGCUCAGUUAGAGAUCAUGUUCGAAGCUGGCACUGAUACAACAUUCAUAGUGUUAGAAUAUGCAAUGGUCCAGCUCAUGCAAAACCCCCACCUCAUGAAAAAGCUACAAGCUGAGGUGAGGAGCACUAUACCCAAGGGCAAAGAAAUGGUUACUGAAGAUGAUCUCAAUAGUUUGGCCUACCUAAAGGCGGUCAUCAAAGAGACACUCCGGCUCCAUAUGCCUGGGCCGCUCCUCGUACCCCACCUCUCCAUGGCUGACUGCAACAUAAAGGGCUACAUGAUACCAUCAGGAAUACGUGUCAUCGUCAACAGUUGGGCUCUUGCAAGGGACCCUAGCAGUUGGGAGCACGCGGAUGAGUUCAUGCCUGAGCGAUUUAUGGAAUGCGGUAGCGCGGCGGCUAUGGACUAUAAGGGAAAUGAUUUCCUCUACUUGCCAUUUGGUACCGGGCGAAGGAUUUGCCCAGGUAUCAACUUUGCGAUUGCGACCAUUGAAAUCAUGCUAGCGAAUCUAAUGUACCACUUCAACUGGAAGCUACCAAUGGAGUUGAUGGAAGGUGGUAUCGAUAUGACUGAAGUAUUUGGGAUGACAGUGCACCGGAAGGAGAAGCUCCUCCUUGUUCCCGUAGUGCCACACGAUUAA
rnacentral:rRNA from 1 species